GCCCAGAUAGCUCAGUUGGUAGAGCAGCGGUUUCGUAAACCGCAGGUCGCAGGUUCAAAUCCUGUUCUGGGCUC
rnacentral:tRNA from 1 species